rnacentral:rRNA from 1 species
AGAGUUUGAUCCUGGCUCAGAUUGAACGCUGGCGGCAUGCCUAACACAUGCAAGUCGAACGAGGGUAGCAAUACCUUAGUGGCGGACGGGUGAGGAAUACGUAGGAAUUUGCCCUUAAGUGGGGGAUAGCCCGGGGAAACCCGGAUUAAUACCGCAUGAUCUCGAAAGAGCAAAGUGGGGGAUCGCAAGACCUCACGCUUUUGGAGAAGCCUACGUCGGAUUAGCUAGUUGGUGAGGUAAUGGCUCACCAAGGCGACGAUCCGUAACUGGUCUGAGAGGAUGAUCAGUCACACCGGAACUGAGACACGGUCCGGACUCCUACGGGAGGCAGCAGUGGGGAAUAUUGGACAAUGGGCGCAAGCCUGAUCCAGCAAUGCCGCGUGUGUGAAGAAGGCCUUCGGGUUGUAAAGCACUUUAAGUUGGGAAGAAAAAACUCGCUCUAACACAGUGAGUCUUGACGGUACCGACAGAAUAAGCACCGGCUAACUCUGUGCCAGCAGCCGCGGUAAUACAGAGGGUGCAAGCGUUAAUCGGAUUUACUGGGCGUAAAGCGUGCGUAGGCGGUUUGCUAAGUCGGUUGUGAAAGCCCUGGGCUUAACCUGGGAAUUGCAGUCGAUACUGGCAGACUAGAGAACGGUAGAGGGAGGCGGAACUCCAGGUGUAGCGGUGAAAUGCGUAGAUAUCUGGAAGAACACCGAUGGCGA